AUUAAAAGCAUCAACUCUAAUCAUAAAAAAAAUUGAUGUUUGAACAAAAUCAUUAAAACAAAAUAAAAAAAGAAGAAACUGUGGAAUAAUCUUAUAUUUUAUAUUUUAAAAAUUUUAUAUGGUCCCAGCAAUAUAUAAUUCUUGAUAUGGAUGAAACCGAACAACUGAAAUUAUUUUCUAAACGUAUAUCGAAGCGCCCAGUUGUUUAUUCCAGGCUGGUUGUUGGUUUGCCGUAGCAGCCACGAUUUUGCUAAAUAAAAUCACUUUCGCGGGCAGCGAUACUCGGGGAAAUAAUUACGAGUGGUGGCGGGUUACGCGCGUGCACCAGCCUGGCUGCCUGGUGGUACAUGAUAUCGAUGAAAUACCGAUAAUCGAUUGCCCUCUACAAGGCAUAUAUCCGAUAGGUCGAUGGCUGAACACGCGCCUACCAUUCUAUACCCAGCAAUUUGUACCGGCGUGGCGCGGCGGUGGCAGCGGUGCACGCGAUUGCAUUAUAAUACUGCCGCGGCCCGCUUAUUAUUUACGAGCGGUGGCUGGUUGGCUUCAUGGGGUGGCAAUAUAUCGACACCCCGCGGAGUUUCCUCCUUUGGCUACUGGUUACCAUUCAUAAUGGAAUAUAAUGGCUCCCUUGGCCUAGGGGUUUAAUCCGCAGUCAGAGUGCAACAACCCCCUAUUGAUGUGUACUAGGCAAUUUCUCUACCUCUUUUUCUCAUUUACUUUUCUUAUAUCUAUUUCUAUAUAUUUCCUAUAUUUUUGUGUUUAUUUAUAUUUUAUACAUGAUGUUUUCGUUCAAAAAUCUUAUUUAAGUUAUUACUAUUUAUUUUAAAUCAAAGAUUAAAUUAUAAUUAAAGGUUAUGAAGGAAUUUAUUUAGCUUAAUAUUUUAUAUAAAGGAAAAA